GCCGUGAUAGCUCAAUGGUAGAGCGCGACGUUGAAGGCGUCGGCGUUCUUGGUUCAAGUCCAAGUCACGGCA
rnacentral:tRNA from 1 species